GUCAAGAUUUCUGGAAUGAUUCUUGGUCAAAAUCUAUAUGGCCUCUGGAUUGGACUGCGGCCGAUCAGGCUGUUGGUGAGGUAAUGGCCCACCAAACCUAUAACCGGUACGGGCUCUGAGAGGAGAAGCCCGGAGAUGGGCACUGAGACAAGGGCCCAGGCCCUAUGGGGCGCAGCAGGCGCGAAACCUUUGCAAUAGGCGAAAGCCUGACAAGGUUACUCUGAGUGAUUUCCGCUAAGGGGAUCUUUUGACACCUCUAAAAAUGGUGUAGAAUAAGGGGUGGGCAAGUCUGGUGUCAGCCGCCGCGGUAAUACCAGCACCCCGAGUGGUCGGGACGAUUAUUGGGCCUAAAGCAUCCGUAGCCGGUUUUACAAGUCUUCCGUUAAAUCCAGCCGCUCAACGGAUGGGCUGCGGAGGAUACUGUAGAACUAGGAGGCGGGAGAGGCAAGCGGUACUUAGUGGGUAGGGGUAAAAUCCACUGAUCCAUUGAAGA
rnacentral:rRNA from 1 species